rnacentral:lncRNA from 1 species
GAAGCGAGAUUACAUUCGACACAUGUCAUCUAGGAGUUCUAUUGGGGUGCGUCCAAAUGGAUUUCUUAGCAUAUGGUAUGUCCCAUGCAAACCAUGCACCUAUCUUGCAUCAAGAUUAGCACUAUCUCCAAAUAGAUCGAACCGACCUUCCACUUGAGCCUCUUGACCUAGGAUUAUCAUCGGGUGCUCCCACAAUAGUUUCUGUGCCU